rnacentral:lncRNA from 1 species
CCUGACAUCGUUUCCUUCUCAAGAAGAACUUCCACGAUCUUGUCAAUGGCUUCACGGUUGUUCCUUAUUUGGCUCAACGCAAUCUCAUAAGCACGGUCUGAUAGUCUCUUGACUGCGGCAUCGAUGUCUUCAGCAAGCUUCUCUGACAUUGAGUUCCUUGCCGUCAUUCUCAUGAUGACAUCACCACUGUGUGAUCCGUCCACGAACGACCAUGGGCCAAUUUCAGACAUUCCAAAUGUGGUUACCAUCUGCUGAAAAAAAGAAAAAAAAAAUAAUAUGCCUAAAUUUUAUUGAAAAUUGUUGGAGGAAUAAUUGACGGAGAAGGCAAAAACAGGAUUAUUAAAUUACCUGUUUGGCCAAGAAGUGAUUUGGAUUUGGGUUGGCAAGAUCAAGAAUCUAGCAAGAGCCUUCUAAAUAAUACCGAAAAGUAACUCCCACCACCUGUAUAUUGAUCCACUUUCUUAUUCAACAAAUCUCUGCAAAUCUUUAUAAUUAAUUUUGAUAUGGAUUUUUUUUCCUCCUUCACUCUGGUAAUUAACUUUUGUAUCCAUGUAGUGAUAAAGUAAAAUCUCUCUUUCUUUUAUCCUAAUGGUUCAUUUAUUUGCUUGAUAAAUAUCUUGUUACAGUCUUGUUUCCACAGUUAACUGACUUUUAAAUUACAAUUUUAUCUUUCAAUAAAUUAAAAGGACAUCACAUAAAAAUUAUUUUCUUUUUGUUUCUUUUUUUAACGGAGAAUCAAAGAUUUAGACUCUAUUUGGUACAGUUUUUCAAACAAAAUUUAUUUAAGCGGAGUUUUUGGUAAUAAAGCUUUUACAAAUGAAGCUUUCAUUUAAAAAAUUUUAAUUUUUUCAUAGUCAAUAAGAGUUUUUAUUAAAAAUUUAUAAAAUUAUUUUAAUAGAUAAAUUUUUUAAGUUAUCUUAUGAAAAAAUAAAAUAAUAUUGUCAAAUAAAUAAAAAAAUAUUUUGGAUAUUUUAACAUUUAAAAAAAAAAAUUUCAACCUCUAUUCCCAAAAAUCUAAAAUUUAGACUUUUACUAGUAGAGAAAAAUAAUUUAUUUAAGCUCUAAAAGUUCUAAAAAAAAACCAAAUAACAACAAAAAUUAUGAUAAGAGUUUAUGAGAUUAAAUAAGCACUUGGUUGUGGUCAUUAGAUAAGUCAAAUCAAACAGACACUUAUAAUGCCCUAAAAAAAUUAGUAGAUGAAUAUUUAGGGUUGAAAAAUAGUUUUUUUUUUCUCUUCGAAUUUUAAGGAAAAGAAUAGUUAUACUUCCUAAAAUUUGAGAAAAUAAUUAUCAAGAUCCCCUAAAUUUUGUAUUAUAAUUUUUGAGAAAUCUGAAUGCAAAGUCAAUUUUACCCUCGCAUAUGCACAUCCGUUUAUUAAUGACAUUUACAUAGAGAUUAGAAAUAAUUUGUCAACAAGUAAAGGAUGUUAAUUGGGCAAAGUGUCCUCUUUUUGGCAGCAAAGUAUUAAUGUUUAUUCCUCCAACAAACAUGAAACUGUUCUGCAUAUUUUCUUUCUUCUGGAUUCAUUUUAGUUCCUUUUUUACUAUUUCUCUUCGGUUUAAGUUUGUUCCUAUAAAUUUAAUUGCCUAUUGCUACUACCAGUUUUUAUUUUCCUUGUUACUCUGCUUCUGCUUGCAAUAUCAAAGCUAAAUGUAAUAUUUAUUGCACAGCUGAAGUGAUGAGUAAGCUUGAAUCCUUGGCUCAAGUGACAAAUAUAAAAUGCUGGUUCUUUUUCUCCAUUACAAUUCUAACAGAUAGUGAAGGAAAAAAAAUAAAAAAAAGAAGCAUAUCAGGCAUACUACAAUGAAAUGCCAAAGGAGAAAAAUGGCACAAUGUACAAUUAACAGAACUCAAAACAAGCUUAAAAAUCAAAUCUCAUGAACACAAAACAGUGGAUCUCAUACUCAUUAAUGAAUUUGGCCUGCACUCAAAUCUCAAUGAUGAACGUGCCUGAAAAUGAAUGUUCAUCUAGGAUUAGAAAGAACAGAUUCUGUUGGCCUGGAGGAGACAUGAUCACUAUUGACAAUGGAAACAUAUGGCAUUGCUUGUGCAAAUUUGUAAUCGACGUUUGCAUCUACUUCCAUUACUCCUUCCAACACCUUCACCACGGUUGACAUUGACGGCCUUUUUCCGGGAUCAUUCUGCAAACACCAGGCUCCAAUCUUAAUCAUUCUUAUCAUUUCAUCCAUAUGAUUUUCCACCUCUUCGCCGAAACUUUCCACGAUGUCAAACAGUCUGUCCUCCUUGGCCUUCUCCUGCAGCAGUCUGAGGAGAUGGCAGCUAGAUUCUGAUCGCGAACGAUCUAAGUUUCUCCGAGCACUGACCACUUCAAGAAGUACAAUUCCAAAGCUAUAUAUGUCAACUUUGACACUGAUUUUUGAUUUCCUCCAUUCCGGAGCAAUGUAUCCUGGAGUUCCUCUCAUUGUUGCCUGCACUAGGCUCUCGUCUCUCUCGAUUAGCUGAGCCAACCCAAAAUCAGAAACCUUGGCAUUGAAAUUUUCGUCCAAGAGAAUAUUUUGUGGCUUUAUAUCAAGAUGUGCCACUCUUCUCCGGCAAUCUUCAUGCAGAUAAGUCAAUCCUUUGGCUACAUCAAGUAUUAUUUUCUUCCUAGUUUGCCAGUCAAGACAAGGUCUCGGAUCUCUGACAAAAAUCCAUUUUUCCAAGGAGCCAUUGCUCAUGUACUCAUAAACAAGAAGCCUGCAGGAUUUCUCUACGCAAAAGCCAAUCAAUCUCACAAGAUUGAAAUGAUGCAAGCUACCGAUUGUCUCAACUUCUGCUACGAACUCCCUCAUCCCCUGCUCCAUUCUAUCCAGACGCUUUACAGCAAUUUUACUGCCGUCUUUUAAAACUCCCUUGAACACAGUUCCAAACCCCCCUCCUCCAAUUCUCUCUUUAAAAUCUUCUGUCGCAAUCUGUAAAUCUUCAUAUGAAAACCUCACAGGUAAUCCAGGAACUUGUUUCAUGUCAUCUUCCAAAUGUUCCUCCUCCUCUACGUUCCUCCGAACUUUCACAAUAUACAACACAAUUACAAUACAGAUAAUCAGAAGCCCACCAGCGGUUGAUCCUGCUACUACCGCCACCAAUUUUGUUCGUCCUUUUUUGGGUGAUUUUGGCCUGUUCUCUUCUGUUGGUGCUAUGCCUGUCACAGGUGGUGGUGCAUUUCCUUCUGGUGCUAAUGUUCCGUUUGUUGGAGUGAUGUAGGGUACAUUUCCUUCUGGUGCUAAUGUUCCGUUUGUUGGAGUGAUGUAGGGUACAUUUCCUUCUGGUGUUGAUGUUCCGUUUGUUGGAGUGAUGUAUGUUGGAGUGAUGUAUGUUGGAGUGAUAUAGGGUGCAUUUCCUUCUGGUGUUGAUGUUCGGUUUGUUGGAGUGAUGUAUGUUGGAGUGAUGUAGGCUGCAUUUCCUUCUGGUGUUAAUGUUCCGUUUGGAGUGAUGUAGGGAAUCAGAAGCCCACCAGCGGUUGAUCCUCCUGCUACCACCACCAAUUUUGUUCCUCUUUUUUUGGGUGAUUUUGGCAUGUUCUCUUCUGUUGGUGCUAUGCCCGUUACAGGUGGUGGUGCUUUUCCUUCUGGUGUUAAUGUUCCGUUUGGAGUGAUGGAGGGAUUUGGUGGACUCAGUGAUAUCUUUUCUGCUGAGGAUUUCCAAAUUAUUUUGCUUUCAUUGUUAAAGAGAGAAAGAUUUCCAUCCGGGUCAAGGUUCAUCCAGUGAACGGAGUUACCUGAGUGGUUGCUCGCCCAUAUCUGGGUGCCAUCCGAAUCUCUCAGCACCAAACCGUCCGUCUUUAGCUGCACCAUCGCGUUUGCUUUUACCGGGCGGGUCUUUGUUAGCUGACCAGACCACUCUGGGAUCAUUCCCUCUAACGGCAACAACUGAAAAAACAUAAGAGUUGCAGGUGCCAUUGCAGUAAAACCCACAAUAAAAAUCAAAAUCACCGGCGUCCUGUAAUAAGAGGAAUACUCUCAUCUGCCAUCCAUUUGUGAUGACAGAGUUGUUGUUGUACCAUGUAGAGGGAAGGCCUGAAUCCAAACAGUAAAUGUUGCUGGCCCUUACGUAACAAUUUCCCGUUGUUGCAGCCGAAGUUGGGAUGAUGUGUAAGCUAAUAAGAACGGAGAGAAUGGGAAACAAGCAGCGGAGGCUGCAGCUAGCCAUGAUCUGUGUGUUUGGAAUUGGGUGAGAGAGAUGAGAAAAAAGGGGUCACGAAGACAUUUUAAGUCAAGCAAGCUACAUAAAUAUCAUUCGUCUCUAUUUGAUGAUUCAUGGAAAAGUAUAUUCAUGUCUCAGUAUGUUCUUUCGGCUCCAACUUUGCUGUGAUUUUUUUUUUCGUUGUACGACAUGUGAUAAAAAUGUUGAGAAAUAUCACAUGGAAUUAGAAUGACCAUUUUGUGAAGUAUAACACAAAACUUGAAAAGGUGUAACGUUACUCAAUUUAACAUAUAUUUAUUAUGAAGUGUAACACAAAAUUUGUGGCGGUAAAACAUUGGGAAAUUGUCGAUCUAACACAAAUUGUCUCCUAAUAAUGUGCAUCGAUGCAUCUUGUGUGUGCAUGCGCGUGCGAUGAAUACACAAUAACUAGUGAAUGAUAGUGCUUAAAUACUAAAUUUAAUACGCAAACGACGUGCUCGCGUAUUAAUAUCUCACAUGAGCAACAUCACACACUAAAAAAUGGACAUAAUAUAUGCAUAUCAUCUUAAGGAUUCAUACAAUCAGGGAAUACUAAGUAGACAAUCUUUUAAGUUACAUUUAAUUUAAUGGAAGACUUAUUCAAUAUUAAAUUUGUAUCCUUUCAUGAUUAUUUCUUGGAAGAGUCGUGAUUGCCAUUUGCCAGCUAUAAUUAUUGUCCAACACGUCUUUGAGACUUUGACGAAGCGUUUAUGACUUCCACAAAAGCAAACAUAUAAAAGUAAAAACUAGAAAGCAACUGAAACUGAUAUCAGACUUUCCCAUGCAUGCUUGGCCUAACAGGUCAAUUAACAUUUUAAGAUUGAAGACAACCUACAGCCUUAUUUUCUUCACAGCUUUUGGGCAUAAUCUAAAUAAAUUAUUAUUUGAGUCAAACUAUUAUUUAAAAAAAUGCUUAGACCGCUCUAAAUGAGUUCAAACAUUCGGUCUGCCGUGUAAUAGAACUGGUCUAAACCCGAUUCUUAUAUUUGACUAAAUUUAAUAAUUCAAAACAAAUUAAGUAUGUUUGUAAAUUUCAUAAUCAAUUUUCUGGAUAUGGAAAAACAUCACAAAGAAAAGAAAAGGACUUUUCCUAAUUCAGCUUGAAAUUGGUAAUCAAAGAAGUAUGAAUACUCUUUUCUUUCCUUUUUGAUAUAAAGUUUACAAAACCAAUCUUUUGGCAGUAGAGCUUACAACUAUGAGAGCAAAGAGUCAUCUUCUUACCAGUAAUCUCCACAAGAGCAUUUCCCAUUUCUGAAAUGAUGAAAUCUACUGGCAUCUCGAACAAUAAUUUCUCUGUUUUUAAUUUCUGAAAUGUACUUAAUAGCAACAUGGCAAUCACUGCAGACGCGCAAGUUCUUCAUCACCCUUAUUGGUACACCCGUGGGUGUGUUCAUCAGGGCAAACGCAAUUGCAAGCUUUUCACUAUGGUGUUUCAAAUUAUAUUCCUUUUCCUCAUUGUCCAUGUCAUGCAUAUCAGCACCUGUAUCAGGGACAUAGCCCCGUAGCUUCAUCUCUGAUGUUAGUUCUUCCAAAUACAAAUCAAUCUCCAUCGAACUUGGAUGAGAUUUGUCGCCCAUGGUAAACUGAUGAACUUGAUUCUUUAUUUCUAACCAGCUUACACCUGGUUCCUUCUUCACAUUCCUCUCUCUCAUGGCCUCUCUAAACUCGGAAACACCCUGCCACCUCUUAGCAGAAGCAUGAAUGUUAGAAAGCAACACAUAAGGAGCCGCAUCCCGAGGAUUAAGCUUAAGAACUUCUUCAGCGAUUCUUCCAGCCAUAUCAGUACUCUUAUGGAUUUUACAUGCAGAUAACAAAGUUUUCCAUAUGAUAGUAUCGGCUUUGACAGGCAUGUUUCUUAUCAGAGCCUCUGCUUCAUCUAAACAACCACAACGGCCAAGUAGGUCAACCACACAUGUAUAAUGUUCUAAUCUAGGCUUCAGACCAUACUUCUUUACCAUCAAAUCAAAGAAUUCCAUCCCUUUUUCCUUCAGACCACAAUGACUGCAAGCAUACAGCAAGCUCACAAAAGUAACAUCAUUUGCCUCGAAUUCUUUCUGCUCCAUCUGCUCAAACAAAUUGAUAGCUUCCUCUCCUUUUCCAUGAAAUCCAUAAGCAGCAAUCAUCGAGCUCCACAAAACAACAUCAGAAUAUUCACAUUCCAGAAAGGCUUUCAUUGAAUCAUCCAAACAACCGCACCUUGAAUACAUGCUAAUUAACGAACUAAUCACCCCAACAUCCAAACUAGCCCCAGCUUUAACCACUUCAGCAUGAAUCUGCUGACCUUGACCUAAUGUUGCCAAUUCUGAACAUGAACUAACCACACUCACAAACGUAAUCUUGUCAGGCCUAAAUCCUACCAUUCUCAUCAAAUUAUAUUGAUCCAAAACAUCCUCAGCAAGCCCAUUUUGAGCUUUUCCGGCAAUGAGUGUGUUCCAAGCAAUCACAUUGCGGAUAGGCAUCAAUCUAAUCACCUUCUCUCCUUCUACCAAGCUUCCACUUUUCAUAUACAUAUGAGCCAAUGAACUCCCAACAACCAAAUCCAGCUCAAACCCACCUUUCAUUACAUAACAAUGAAUUUGCCUCCCAGCAUCUAACCCUCUCAAACCAGCACACCCCCUCAAAACACUACCUAAAGUAAACUCAUCAGGCAAAAAACCAACUUGAUGCAUUUCACUUAGUAAUCUCAAACCCUCCUCAUUGAACUCAAACUGAACCAAUCCCGCAACCAUCGCAUUCCAGGUUGCAAUAUUUCUCUUAGUCAUCCCAUCAAACACUUUCCGUGCACUCUCCAAAUCACCGCUCUGCACAUUCGCAUUGAUCAUAAUGUUACAAGACAUGAUAUUUCUCCUCGGCAUGAGACCAAACAGGGUAACAGCUGUUUGUAAUUGCCCAAUUUUUGAGUACAUGUUGAGCAAGUGAUUGCAAAUGAAAUUGUUUGAGGAACACCCAGAUGUGACUAUCAAAGAGUGAAGCUGUUUUGAACAUGAAAGUGAUUUUUUGAGCGUGCAUGAUUGGAUUAGAUGAGAGAAGAGAGUUGGGUUUGACCAUAUUUCAGAUUUGAAUCUGUUGAAGGCUUCCUUUAUGUGUCCUUUUGAGCAUAAGUUGAUAAAUUCUUCUGUUGAGUCAAUGAAAUUUGCGACAACUUCCGUGGCAGUCUUGGAGAAAAAACGAAGGCCGGACAUGUACUGAUGCUGUUUUUAAGUUGAGCUGAUUUCGUAUGAUUCCGAAACUUAUAACGAUAAUUAGUCUGCACCUGUGGAUAACGCUGAGAUUUUAUGCUUCAAAAAUCAGGAGCAAAACUUUAGAAAUUUACUCAAUCAUGACUUUUUGAGUUAGUGUACAAUCCUACUUACAUUUGAUCAAGAAUACAGAGUAUUAUACAUUCAAGUGUACGCGUUCAAAGAGUGGCUGAAAUUUCAAGUAUGGAUAAUAUUAAUGCCACUCAAACAGAUACAGAUAAUGGUGCUGGAACAGCUGGAGGGACCCUAUUUUCAGCUGGGAUUUCGACAAACUCUGAGAGGAUUGCCCGGAAUUCAUCCCCUGACAUUGUUUCCUUCUCAAGAAGAACUUCCACGAUCUUGUCAAUGGCUUCACGGUUGUUCCUUAUUUGGCUCAACGCAAUCUCAUAGGCACGGUCUGAUAGUCUCUUGACUGCAGCAUCAAUGUCUUCAGCAAGCUUCUCAGACAUUGAGUUCCUUGCCAUCAUUCUCAUGAUGACAUCACCACUCUGUGAUCCGUCCAUGAGCGACCAUGGGCCAAUUUCAGACAUUCCAAAUGUGGUUA